UGGAGGAAUGUUUAAACGACACAGACUACAAUGAACUGAUGGAGAUAGCAGAGAAUGGCCUCCCAAAGAUAACCACACCUUAUCGUGUUGUUAUUGUUGGGGCCGGCAUGGCUGGACUCACUGCUGCCAAGCUGCUGCAAGAAGCUGGACAUGAGGUAACCAUAUUGGAGGCAAGUGAGCGAGUAGGACGGGUGUUGACCCAUAGGAAUGAAACAGAGGGUUGGUAUGUUGAAUUAGGGGCCAUGAGGAUUCCAUCUUUUCAUCAAGCCUAGGGUCACCAUGUAAAAACCUCGUUCAUCCAGCAACUGAACAUCUCAUUGAAUCACUUCAACAUGACUGACAACAACACCUAUUACCUGGUGAAUGGGAAGAAACACAAGACUUCAGAUGUGACUAAAGACCCCAGCAUCCUGGAUUACCACCUACCAUCUAAUGAGAGGAAUAAAUCAGCCCAUGAUCUGCUUCAGGAGGCAUUACAGGAGGUUCCAGACCUGUUUGAUCCAGUCUCGAGUUCUGGUGUUAAGCAAACUCCUGACUUCUGGAUCUAGGCACCUUCGAUGCUCCUGGACUUUCAAGAUUCAAGUCUCAAGUUUCCUUCUUGGAUUAACUCCUGGCUGGCAGCUUCAGGAUCGACAACUAACCGGCCCAAGUCAGCAGCAAACCCUGUCCAAUAAUCUCGCUGUGGAUGGUGCAGAUGACGGCAUUCUGCUAAUGGCAGACAGCUUGCAUCUGGAGAGAAGGCUUGAUAUAGGCCUUGCAGUCAACAUUCUUCAGUACUGUGACAAUGUUUAGGGAAGGCCUGAACCCAAAGACCCAAAUACAAUUUCAAAAUUGUCUAUCUGUGGAGGUUAGGGUUAGAGUUUGGGUAUGAUUUGUCAAAGGAAUUAAACCCAUACAUUCAUCCAGAUUUUCAGAAUGUGGCCUGGAGACGUUGUGCAUGAGUUACUUCUCUCACAAUGUUACUAAGUUCUAACUGGAGAUAUGAACAACCUUUCCCUAUAAUUUGCACUACUGCUCCCCAUAAAUACUAAAAUGUUUGUAACCCAGUGUUUCAUUUUAUUUCAUUAAUGCUGACAUCUACCAAGGCUGAAAUCCCUUUAUUUUAUGCAUGGUCCAACCCAUGCAUUAAUUUAGCAAAUGGUUCAAAAAUGUUUUAGCAGUCAGGAUCACAUCACAUAGAAUACAUUAAAUUAAACAUAGCUAAUUACAUCAGCUAGAUUUUAUUUUAAAAUGUCAAAUUUCUAAUACUGAGUCAUUUUGGUAGUUAUCUGUCACUGCUAGUUUGGCCAUUUCCUUCUUCCUAAUAGACUGGACACACAAGGGACACAUCCCCCAGGAGGUGUUCCAAUGCCCUGAUUGAUUUAUUUUGCUUUGAUAAUCAUCAGGAUCCUGUUUAAAGAUAAGUGCACAGAAUUCAAAGAGAUUUCAAAUAAAUCCAUGGAUACAGAUUUUCUGCUGCUUUGCCAAUUGGGGGUUUUCAUUGAUGUCACUGAAGUCGCAGCCUCACUUCCAGUCCACCAUCUUGGGUGUUUUGUGGUCAUCAACAAGGUGGAUCCAUAUUUUAGUUCGUUUAGCGCAAAUCCGGACGAUGGGCUGCACAUAAUUUUUAGUAUGCAACUGUUUUUCAUAGCCACAACAUAGGCUAAAGUCCAUGGUAAGUUCAAUAUUGCCGUUUAUAGGUUAAUUACAUAAUACGGUAUAUAUUACUAGAUAAUACAUUUACAGUAUAACACUAAAGGUAAAAUGCAGUCUACAUUGUCAGCACCUGAAGUCUUGAUAACUCUUGAUCUGUGGGAGCUUCUGGAAGCAGGAACUCAGGUGUGUUUGCUAGUCAAACGCCUGACCAUCACUAUGCCACCUUCCAGUACCUAAGAUGUUUAUUCAAACUCAGCGUUUACGUCUUCCUCCGGGGUCCGAGCGCCAAAGAGAUAAUCUUUCAUUAAUAAACUCUCUAACUGUCAUCUUGUUGUUUCUCUAUUAUGUGAGUUUUUCCAGAUUGAAAUACCUGCUGUGCAAAGUCAACAAUGUAGUGCAUCCUGAUCUUCUUACUUGAAGGUGGGGAGGUACCGAUGGACAAUUGAUAGUCGUUGCAGUUCUUUUUACAGACAGCAUUCAUCUCGUUGUAGACGUUCCUCUCUUUUUGAACAAGCUGAAGAUGAUCCUGUUGCUUUUUGAUUUCUGCAGUCUUCCUCUCCUCUGGAAGGUUUGAGCUUCUUAUAAGCUGAUCAUUAUUCUGUUGGCAUAGC